GCAGUGGUGGUUCAGUGGUAAAAUUCUUGCUUUCUGUGUGGAAGACCCAAGUUCAAUUCCUGACCAAUGCA
rnacentral:tRNA from 1 species